AUUUCCGAAUUUGACAAACGAAUACAACUCUGGAACGUGAAUAGGUCCUUCUUGAUAAGUGCGAUAUUGUGACAGCAGCAUUUUCAUCUUCUGACAGUAUUCUUAAAGUAAAUUUUUGUAGGACACUCUCACUAUCACUUUAUUCUCCAUAUUUCUCUUUUCUUCAAUGUUUAAAUAUCGACUUGUUUGUAAAAGACAUCAAUUCUCCAUUCACUAUUUAUAGGUAUGAAAAGAU
rnacentral:lncRNA from 1 species